AUUGAACGCUGGCGGCAGGCCUAACACAUGCAAGUCGAGCGAGCGGCGGACGGGUGAGUAAUGUAUGGGGACUGCCCGAUAGAGGGGGGUAACUACUGGAAACGGUGGCCAAUACCGCAUACUGUUGGAAAACCCAUAUGGGAUUAGCUAGUGGGUAAGGUAAUGGCUUACCUAGGCGACGAUCCCUAGCUGGUCUGAGAGGAUGAUCAGCCACACUGGGACUGAGACACGGCCCAGACUCCUACGGAGGCAGCAGUGGGGAAUAUUGCACAAUGGGCGCAAGCCUGAUGCAGCCAUGCCGCGUGUAUGAAGAAGGCCCUAGGAUUGUAAAGUACUUUCAGUCGGGAAGCGUUACCGACAGAAGAAGCACCGGCUAACUCCGUGCCAGCAGCCGCGGUAAUAC
rnacentral:rRNA from 1 species